UAAAGGAUUUGCUUAAAAGGAGCACGUGGUGGAUAUGGUCUGAGCUGGUAAAUGGCCAUCCUCCCCACACGGCCAAUCCAAUCCUCCGCCACCACCAACCACCAACUCAGAGACGGAGAAGAGGCCCUUAGGCGCCGCGUCCUGGCCUGCCAACAAAUCCACCCUACGCUCUAUUGUUCUCUCUCAUCAACUUAAUCAUCUUAUUUUGUUGAUUUUCUGCGGGUUCGGAUUUCGACUGGGACUUAGGGUUUGGGAAGCUCCGAAAGAAAUGUUAAGCAAGCAGGGGGAAGAAGGAGGAGCAGGGGGAAGGUUUUACUGGGUAAAAGGUGAACAAGAGUCCGGCUGUGUUAAAAAGAGCAGAGGAAUUGUGGUUGUGUUUGCGUGGUGGGGCUCAAUUCAGGAAACCCAAUUGAAGGAUUUCACUGAUCUCUACUCCUCGCUGGGUUGGAAUUCUCUCGUUUGCCUCGCCCAUUUUCUUAAUCCAUUCACCCCUGAGAGGGCCACAUCGCUAGCAUUUUGUAUUGUUAGUCAGCUUGUUGAGGAGCUAAGGUCAAAGCCAUGUCCUAUAGUCCUUGCUUCUCUUUCUGGUGGUUCACAAGCUUGCUUGUAUAAGGUCUUUCAGAUUAUUGAUGGAGGAUGUGAAGUCCAGCUCAAUUUGAAUGACAGUAGAUUGGUUAGAAGUUGCAUCUCGGGUUAAAUCUACGACUCUGGUCCUGUUGAUGUUACCAGUGACUUAGGUGCAAGAUUUUCUGUACACCCCACUGUCCUGAAGAUGCCUGGUUCUGCUAAGCUUGUGUCCUUUGUUGCAAAAGGUGUCACUUCUGGACUGGAUGCUCUAUUCAUCACAAAAUUUGGAUCCCAGCAGACAGAUUACUGGCAGAGUCUUUAUUCCUCAGUUAGCUUGGGUGCCCCUUUUCUCGUGCUAUGCUCAGACUGUGAUGAUCUUGCUCCAUACCCCAUUAUAUGCAACUUUUCUCAGCGUUUACGAGAUGCUGGAGGUGCUGUAGAAAUCGUGAAGUGGAAAAAUUCCCCUCAUGUUGGUCAUUACAGUAGCUAUCCAAUUCAGUACAGAGCUGCUGUAGCAGAGUUGCUUGAGAGAUCAAAUUCCAUAUUCUUUCAUAAAAUCCAGAGACUUGGAGAGCAAAUUGGCACUGACUUGGGCGGUAUGCCUGGUGAAAUAUCUGAUUUGAUAUGUGAUCUCCAAAAUGCAGCUGUUAAUUCAAAUCAAAGCCUUAGAAGAGUUGCAGUUGGACCAGAAGACCACUUCUUCUUACCAAGUUCAAUGGAACAUGACAAUUUUAGAGACUCGCGCUCUUCUCAAGAGGAUAGGAAGGAAAAAUUACCAUCUGAUACAAACCCUAGGAUGGAUGCACAUGGUGUUCUUGGCCAAAUCCUCUUUGAUGCGUGUGUCCCGAAAAACAUUGAAGGUUGGGAUAUCAAAUUUUCUGGUGCCUUGAACGGCCAGCCAUUUGCUUCUGCUUCUAGGCGUUCACCCUUGAAGGCUAUCAAAUUUAUAGGUCGUUCAAGAUUGUGACCAGGUCUGAUAUGAGUUGACGUAUUUGAGGAGUUCGAAGCUAUGGGUGCCUGCAGAGCACGUGAUGGAAGAUAACGAGCCUACUUUUGUAAAUAGUGUUAAUAUAUGAGGUUUUUUUUGGAAGGAGUGUUAAUAUGUGAGUUGAAAGACGGAAUUACUUAACUGUUACAAGCGUAUUAACCCUGGUUUUUUGUUUAAUUUGUUAUUAGCAUGUUAUUAAGUCCUGCUUUUCCUUUUUUAUUCCUUCUUGUCCAACAUGUAACACAAGAAAGAAAGCGGAGGGAAGUGACCUUUUCACAUUGUUCGACUUUGUGGUCCAUGUUUUCUGCAUUUGGAAAUUGUGUUCGAUUUCAUAGU